rnacentral:rRNA from 1 species
UACGAAGGGGGCUAGCGUUGCUCGGAAUCACUGGGCGUAAAGCGCACGUAGGCGGACUCUUAAGUCGGUGGUGAAAUCCUGGAGCUCAACUCCAGAACUGCCUUCGAUACUGAGAGUCUCGAGUCCGGGAGAGGUGAGUGGAACUGCGAGUGUAGAGGUGAAAUUCGUAGAUAUUCGCAAGAACACCAGUGGCGAAGGCGGCUCACUAGCCCGGUACUGACGCUGAGGUGCGAAAGCGUGGGGAGCAAACAGG